UACGAAGGGGGCAAGCGUUGUUCGGAUUUACUGGGCGUAAAGGGAGUGUAGGCGGCUUUUUAAGUCAGGCGUGAAAGCCCGGGGCUCAACCCCGGAAUUGCGUUUGAUACUGGAAGGCUUGAGUGUCUGAGGGGUAAGCGGAAUUCCCAGUGUAGAGGUGAAAUUCGUAGAUAUUGGGAGGAACACCGGUGGCGUAGGCGGCUUACUGGCAGAUAACUGACGCUGAGGCUCGAAAGCGUGGGGAGCAAACAGG
rnacentral:rRNA from 1 species